GUGGCUACUGUGCCACCUGGUGGAUAGCUCGGCUCGGAUGCCGACGAAGGACGUGCCAAGCUGCGAUAAGCCUGAGGGAGCCGCACGGAGGCUAAGAACUCAGGAUCUCCUAAUGGGAAUCCCUAUAACAAUUGCCUUGCGCAAUGGGGAACGGCCGGAAUUGAAGCAUCUCAGUACGGCCAGGAAGAGAAAUCGA
rnacentral:rRNA from 1 species